rnacentral:rRNA from 1 species
UUACGGGAGGCAGCAGUCGCGCAAACUUUGCAAUACACGAAAGUGUGACAGGGCUAUCCCGAGUGCCGUCCGCUGAGGAUGGCUUUUACCCAGUCUAGAAAGCUGGGGGAAUAAGGAGAGGGCAAGUCUGGUGUCAGCCGCCGCGGUAAUACCAGCUCUCCGAGUGGUGUGGAUGUUUAUUGGGCCUAAAGCAUCCGUAGCUGGCCAAGUUAGUCCCUUGUUAAACCCACCGAAUUAAUCGUUGGAUUGCGGGGGAUACUGCUCGGCUAGGGGACGAGAGAGGCAGACGGUAUUUUCGGGGUAGGGGUGAAAUCCUAUAAUCCCGGGAAGACCACCAGUGGCGAAGGCUGUCUGCUAGAACGCGCCCGACGGUGAGGGAUGAAAGCUGGGGGAGCGAACCGGAUUAGAUACCCUUGUAGUCC